rnacentral:rRNA from 1 species
GAUGAACGCUGGCGGCGUGCCUAAUACAUGCAAGUAGAACGCUGAAGGAAGGAGCUUGCUCUUUCCGGAUGAGUUGCGAACGGGUGAGUAACGCGUAGGUAACCUGCCUGGUAGCGGGGGAUAACUAUUGGAAACGAUAGCUAAUACCGCAUAACAGUAGAUGUUGCAUGACAUCUGCUUGAAAGGGGCAAUUGCUCCACUACCAGAUGGACCUGCGUUGUAUUAGCUAGUUGGUGAGGUAACGGCUCACCAAGGCGACGAUACAUAGCCGACCUGAGAGGGUGAUCGGCCACACUGGGACUGAGACACGGCCCAGACUCCUACGGGAGGCAGCAGUAGGGAAUCUUCGGCAAUGGACGGAAGUCUGACCGAGCAACGCCGCGUGAGUGAAGAAGGUUUUCGGAUCGUAAAGCUCUGUUGUAAGAGAAGAACGAGUGUGAGAGUGGAAAGUUCACACUGUGACGGUAUCUUACCAGAAAGGGACGGCUAACUACGUGCCAGCAGCCGCGGUAAUACGUAGGUCCCGAGCGUUAUCCGGAUUUAUUGGGCGUAAAGCGAGCGCAGGCGGUUAGAUAAGUCUGAAGUUAAAGGCUGUGGCUUAACCAUAGUACGCUUUGGAAACUGUUUAACUUGAGUGCAAGAGGGGGAGAGUGGAAUUCCAUGUGUAGCGGUGAAAUGCGUAGAUAUAUGGAGGAACACCGGUGGCGAAAGCGGCUCUCUGGCUUGUAACUGACGCUGAGGCUCGAAGCGUGGGGAGCAAACGGG